GAUGAACGCUGGCGGCGUGCCUAAUACAUGCAAGUCGAGCGAACAGACGAGGAGCUUGCUCCUCUGAUGUUAGCGGCGGACGGGUGAGUAACACGUGGAUAACCUACCUAUAAGACUGGGAUAACUUCGGGAAACCGGAGCUAAUACCGGAUAACAUGUUGAACCGCAUGGUUCAACAGUGAAAGACGGUCUUGCUGUCACUUAUAGAUGGAUCCGCGCCGCAUUAGCUAGUUGGUAAGGUAACGGCUUACCAAGGCAACGAUGCGUAGCCGACCUGAGAGGGUGAUCGGCCACACUGGAACUGAGACACGGUCCAGACUCCUACGGGAGGCAGCAGUAGGGAAUCUUCCGCAAUGGACGCAAGUCUGACGGAGCAACGCCGCGUGAGUGAAGAAGGUUUUCGGAUCGUAAAACUCUGUUGUUAGAGAAGAACAAGUGCUAGAGUAACUGUUAGCGCCUUGACGGUAUCUAACCAGAAAGCCACGGCUAACUACGUG
rnacentral:rRNA from 1 species